rnacentral:rRNA from 1 species
UACGGGGGGGGCAAGCGUUGUUCGGAAUUACUGGGCGUAAAGGGCUCGUAGGCGGCCAACUAAGUCAGACGUGAAAUCCCUCGGCUUAACCGGGGAACUGCAUCUGAUACUGGAUGGCUUGAGUUCGGGAGAGGGAUGCGGAAUUCCAGGUGUAGCGGUGAAAUGCGUAGAGAUCCGGAAGAACACCGGUGGCGAAGGCGGCCUGCUGGGACAAUGCUGACGCUGAGGCGCGACAGCGUGGGGAGCAAACAGG